rnacentral:rRNA from 1 species
UACAGAGGUCUCAAGCGUUGUUCGGAUUCAUUGGGCGUAAAGGGUGUGUAGGUGGCGCGCUAAGUCGGGUGUGAAAUUUCGGAGCUUAACUCCGAAACUGCAUUCGAUACUGGCGUGCUUGAGGACUGGAGAGGAGACUGGAAUUUACGGUGUAGCAGUGAAAUGCGUAGAUAUCGUAAGGAAGACCAGUGGCGAAGGCGGGUCUCUGGACAGUUCCUGACACUGAGACACGAAGGCCCAGGGGGAGCAAAACGGGGA